rnacentral:lncRNA from 1 species
UAGGGCCGCCGGCGGUGCUGCUACAGCCGCCGCCACGCCUGCGCCAGGCUGCAGACAGGUAGCGGCGCAUAGUCUGAGGCUUGAGGGGUGCCGGGGACGUGCGAGACAAGGCUGGAAGCAAAGGCACGAGGCACAGCUAGCUGGGGUGGGGUAGGGGUGUGGGGGUGUGGGGGUGGGUGUUGUAAUAUAGACUCUUGCCUGCCCUGCUAGCGUGCCUGGUAUUCCUGUAUCCUGUUACAUGCGAGGCCCUUAUAUCCGGCCGUGUCCUGUAUCCUUGUCCUGUAUCCUGGUUGUAUCCGACUGCUACCUGUUAACAGUUAUCAGUAUCGGUCUGGUUGCAACCUUAAGACUAGGGCGGACUCUGCCGGUCCUGCAUGGGGUACAGCACACGCUUUCCCCUCUUGCUACGCUACGCUCUUCCCUGAGUGUUUGCCUAGUUGGCUGACCGGACAGCCGUUUCACAACACUCCCACGCGGGCAGACAACUAGCAAACACCGCUAUCCCUAUUGCGUGUAAAUCAACUUCACAGCUCUACUACCGCUGCUUCGUACUUUCGCACUAUCCGCAACUGGUAAACGCAUACGCAACCUGCACUGCUUAUUCGCACGUUCACAAUACACAGCACAAACCGAGAGUCAAAGUUAGUACGCUCUCGCACGCUGCACUUGCACGCAUCCUAUCCAAAUAUGUUCAGAUCACGCAUUCGUACAUGCUAAAACAGCUUCAGCACGCUCCCACGGUCUUCGGCUUGCAUCUCACCGACACCUGAGUUGAUUUAGCGCACCGUUGCCGCACAGCAUAUCAUAUCACGCAGUCAUGAAACCAUGUCUUGCCUCUGUCUCGUCUCACUGCAUGUCAAUUGUACGUCAAUCCUCCUGUCUCCUUGCUUUACCGCACGCCCAUCAUGGCGCGGCACCAGUCCACAAGCGCUUGCAUCCAAUCCGUGCUGUCCACAAACGUUCCCAUGCGUCCACGGGAAAGUUCCUGUCCUGCGUCCUGCAUUUGCUCCCACGGCUAUCCAACGUGUGGUGGCGGGCUUGACGUGUGCAACGCCAAAACCCCAUCCCACGUCAAGGCCGCCAAAUCCUACCCCGGAUCUCCUUUCUCGCACAAACUCGAAUCCUCGCGCGCACAAGCCGCCUGCGCACGUACCGCCUCCUCUCCCGCGCCGUGACUGAAGAUGUCAAAAGGAGUACGGAGCUCUAGCACCUCCCAUCCUUGCGGGUGCUCCCACGCACAUGAAGCCUCCUCACUCGAUGACCGCUCCCACGGCUCCUCCGAAACCGUGCUGGCACACUCUUGCUGUGGCCCAUCCGACAUCGAACUCUCCGCACCGCCCGUGCACUCACCACCGUACAGCGGAUUGUGCGCGUGCCAAGACACACGCAGUGGCUCGCUGCUUGGCUCAAUCCCCACUGAGCUGUUGCUCGCCCCCUCAUCUUUGCUCGCCGCUGGCUGAGCCCCACCCGAAGUGUUGCUCUCCGCUGUGUCGCUCGCCACGCCAGCCGUCAGUGGCAGCCAAAAGUACACCAUCUCCUCACGCUCCGCGCCUUCGUCGUCCUCCGUCUGACACGCGACUGAUGCUGCCGUUGUUGGCGCUGCUGCUGUUGCUGCUGCUGCCGCCUUGGGUCGCCGAGGUGUCACCUGCCGGUUCGGCCCCCACGGCACGCACUUGAUCAGGCUGUCCAACAUGCGCCGUUUCACGCAGUACUCCUCCGUGUGAAGGCCAUACAACCUGCCAAACCGCGCGUUGUGAGGCCCGCCACAGUCGUAGCAUGGCCCCAGGCCGUACGGAUGCUGGAGGUAAAUCCCGCUGGUCCGCCGGUCUGCUUUGCGUCGGCACCACUCUGGGUGCUCCUGCUGUCGUGGCUCCGCCGAGGCUCCGACGCCGCACGGCGCAGCUCCAAUACUCCCAAACCGCUCACUCUCUCUCUUCUGCUCACAUCCCAUCCCAACGCUGAAGUCCGGCCAGCCAUGUAAUGGCCCAAUUAUCGCGGGCAUCGCCGCCGGCUUCUGACUUCGACACUUGGUUACUUCCUAUAUCCUGUAUGUAACCUUUAUUCGUUAUCCUUUAUCCUUUCCGUAACUCAGGCCCUGUAUCCUACGCUAGCAGCUCGAGGUUUCCGCGUCAGCGACGAGCGCGGGGCUCAUAACCUGUUGUAAUAUAGACUCUUGCCUGCCCUGCUAGCGUGCCUGGUAUUCCUGUAUCCUGUUACAUGCGAGGCCCUUAUAUCCGGCCGUGUCCUGUAUCCUUGUCCUGUAUCCUGGUUGUAUCCGACUGCUACCUGUUAACAGUUAUCAGUAUCGGUCUGGUUGCAACCUUAAGACUAGGGCGGACUCUGCCGGUCCUGCAUGGGGUACAGCACACGCUUUCCCCUCUUGCUACGCUACGCUCUUCCCUGAGUGUUUGCCUAGUUGGCUGACCGGACAGCCGUUUCACAACAGUGGGGAUGGGGAGACCCCUACGGAUGCGCCGCUACCUGUGUGCAGCCUGGCGCAGGCAUGGCGGCGGCUGUAGCAGCACCGCCGGCGGCCCUAGCCCAUCUCCC